AGAGUUUGAUCAUGGCUCAGAAUCAACGCUGGCGGCGCGCUUAACACAUGCAAGUCGCACGAGAAAGGGAGCAAUCCUGAGUAAAGUGGCGCACGGGUGAGUAACACGUGGAUUAUCUACCUUUUAGUGGGGAAUACCUCUGGGAAACCGGAGACAAUACCGCAUAAGCCUGUAAAGGGAAAGCAGCAAUGCGCUGAAAGAGGAGUCCGCGGCCGAUUAGCUAGUUGGCGGGGUAACGGCCCACCAAGGCGAAGAUCGGUAGCCGGCCUGAGAGGGCACACGGCCACACUGGCACUGAAACACGGGCCAGACUCCUACGGGAGGCAGCAGUGGGGAAUCUUGCACAAUGGACGAAAGUCUGAUGCAGCGACGCCGCGUGAGCGAUGAAGCCCUUCGGGGUGUAAAGCUCUUUCGACGGGAACGAUAAUGACGGUACCCGGAGAAGAAGCUGCGGCUAACUACGUGCCAGCAGCCGCGGUAAUACGUAGGCAGCGAGCGUUGUUCGGAAUUACUGGGCGUAAAGAGUGUGUAGGCGGUGUUCCCAGUCUGUUGUGAAAUCUCCCGGCUUAACUGGGAGGGUGCAGCGGAAACUAGAAUGCUAGAGGGUGGGAGAGGUAAGCGGAAUUCCUGGUGUAGCGGUGAAAUGCGUAGAUAUCAGGAGGAACACCUGGUGUAGACAGCUUACUGGACCACUUCUGACGCUGAGACACGAAAGCGUGGGUAGCAAACAGGAUUAGAUACCCUAGUAGUCC
rnacentral:rRNA from 1 species